rnacentral:sRNA from 1 species
CUGUAGUAAUAUACAUUUUAUUUAUCUCCACAGUACAGCACAGACAGUGUCAGUAUAACUUGCCCCACACAGCUCUGUCAAUGGGCCUCAACCCUGACCUUGAGGGAAAGAGCAUCAUUGUACAUGCCAAUUCAAUUCUUAGCUUGU